AAAGCUCCUUUAGCUGGCGGCGCUUUUGACGUAUAUUCCCGUGUAUAGAUGUGGCACGUGUGAAUGUGGUGUAUGUGUGUGUGUGUGUAAACGUGUACUUUCUCUCUCUCUCUCUUUCUCUUUCUCUUUCUCUCUCUCUCUCUCUCUCUCUGAGUCUGUUUCUCUUUCCCUUCGCCGAUUGAAAAUUAUGAUUCGACAGAGGUGACUCCACUGCGAGGUGAUCGAAUCAGUCGCGUGAUCGGUUCCCGAGGACUUCGUUGUGUUCUCCCCGAUUUUCUUCAACGAUUGUUUACAAACAAUCACGAAAGUUUAUUGUUUAGUUGUUUUUUAAUUUCUUCUUCUACUUCUUCUUCUUCUUCUUCUUUUUGUUGUUGUUGUUGUUGUUGGUUUGUUAUACUGCAUGAUUUUCUUCGAGGGAUUUAAUAAUAAGAUAUCAUAUUGGUUUCUUUCAUCUAAGUGCAAGUUAUUAACAGGUCAACGACCGAUGUGAUCGUGACUUCGUAGUAAUAUUUUCUUGAUGAAGGAAUUUAAA